rnacentral:rRNA from 1 species
UACGGAGGUCUCAAGCGUUGUUCGGAUUCAUUGGGCGUAAAGGGUGCGUAGGUGGCGCCGUAAGUCGGGUGUGAAAUUUCGGAGCUUAACUCCGAAACUGCAUUCGAUACUGCGGUGCUUGAGGACUGGAGAGGAGACUGGAAUUCCUGGUGUAGCGGUGAAAUGCGCAGAUAUCAGGAGGAACACCGGUGGCGAAGGCGGGUCUCUGGGCAACAACUGACGCUGAGGAGCGAAAGCGCGGGGAGCGAACAGG